rnacentral:rRNA from 1 species
UACGGAGGGGGCUAGCGUUGUUCGGAAUUACUGGGCGUAAAGCGCACGUAGGCGGCUUUGUAAGUUAGAGGUGAAAGCCCGGGGCUCAACUCCGGAAUUGCCUUUAAGACUGCAUCGCUAGAAUUGUGGAGAGGUAAGUGGAAUUCCGAGUGUAGAGGUGAAAUUCGUAGAUAUCGGGAGGAACACCGGUGGCGAAGGCGGCGACCUGGGUAGAUACUGACGCUGAGGUGCGAAAGCGUGGGGAGCAAACAGG